CCAAAACUUCAAAAACCUCUCAAAUCUUCAAAAAUCAAAAUCCUUCAGAUUACAAAAAACCCAAAAUUCAAAAAUGUUCGGCGUCGUCUUCCCCAAUCGAAGUUUCCCAAUUGAUAUCUCAACCUUCACCCAAAUCGAUACUUUUCACUGGGUUCUCGACAUGAACCACUUCGUCGGUGAAGCAUAUGAUCAAAUCUCAGAGAUGUGUAUCUUCUUGUUAAACAACUUCAAUCUCCCACCAGAUAAAGCAUUAGCUGUGUAUGUUCAAUCACCAGGCUCUGCUUUUGUGUUCUGUGGUGCUGUAACUUUAGCUAGACCUUCUGCUGUGUUGUCACUUCAAUGGCCUGAACCUGGUAGUGCGGCGCAGAUGCAACUCACGGCGGGUGAUUCGAGUUCUUUAUCGGCCAAGAUUGGUGUUUCGGUUGAGGAUGCGGCGGCUUUGAGUUCGAUGGAUGUUGUGGCUGAGAGGAAGAUUGAGAAAUUGGCUAUGAAAGUUGGGGAGAAUUUGUUUAACUUUAUGCAGUCUUUUUGUGGUGUUGAUGGGAGUAAAUUGGUUGUUCCUAUGGAUAUUUUGGAUCGGUGGUUUAAGAAGUUUCAGGAGAAAGCUAAACGUGAUCCUGGUUUCCUCAAAAGCUUUGCUUUGUAAGAUCAUAUUCUGCUCCUAAGCAAGUGUUGAACUUUAACAUCUAGAGCUUUGGGGUAGAUGAAAGUUGCGGCUGUUUCAGAUCUGGCAUCGUCUUAAGCUUUAUCGUAUUGCUUUGAGAUAGAUGAAAGGUGAUUUAAACAGCUUAUGUUCCUGAGAAGCUUCAGUUCACUACAGCUGUGGUUUUACCCAUUAGGUUUUGGGGUGUUGAUUGAUGAACCGAAGAAAAGUAUCGUUUUUACUUAGUUUGCAAUGAGAAUUCGUGAGGGAUGUUUAAAUUUUCUCUCAACGUGCUUCUUGCUGAUAUAUGAAUCACAAAUCCAUUAACUUGAUGCUGUUAGCCUGUUACUGAUCAGCUGAGUUCAUGUAAUUAAACUCAAUCAAACUCUGCUCUUAGCAAUU